rnacentral:rRNA from 1 species
CAAAAACAUGUCUCUUUGUAAAAUAUAAAUAGAGAGUCGGGCCUGCUCGGUGAAUAAGUUUUUAACAGCUGCGGUAUUUUAACUGUACUAAGGUAGCAUAAUAAUUUGCCUUAUAAUUUGAGGCUAGAAUGAAUGGUUUGACGAAGGUUAAUCUGUCUCCAUCUUAUUUUUUAGAAGUUAAUUUUUAAAGUGAAAAAGCUUAAAUCUUUCAAAGGGACGAGAAGACCCUAAUGAGCUUAUAAUUUUAUUAUCAUUAUUUAAAACAUUUAGGUGGUGGUAUAUAAAUUUUAAUUGGGGUGAUUAAGGAAUAAAUUGUGUAUAGUAACUUCCUUAAAUUAGGUAUUUGUAGAUAAAGUAACCAAUGUAAUAUUGCUUAUAGUAUAGUUACCAUAGGGAUAACAGCGUAAUUUGUUUAGAGAGUUCUUAUUGAAAAACGAGAUUGCGACCUCGAUGUUGGAUUAAAGUAACCCUAAGGUGCAGAAGCUUUAGUAGGUAAAUCUGUUCGA